CAGCACUAAGCACGAAUUGUGAUUUAUUGUCUUUUUUCUUUCAAACAGUGCUGAAAUACUGCACUAUAAUGCGUGACAAUUUUGUGUAAUGGGGGGUAAUGGCGCGUUAAGAUUACCCCAUAGAGAACGGUAUAAUCAAUGAGACACAAAAAGAUUCAAAGUAAUAUCCAAUAUUACUCAACUCCCUCCAUUACCUAGAUUACAAAAUUCCGCCAAUUUAGCGGGAAACCCAUUGCAUAACCUCGAUGUUCAUUGACAUUCAAUGUUAUUUAUUCCGAUGUGGUGAGAAGAUGGUAUAGUUUAUUAUAACUAUUAGCUGAGCGACGUUUUUGUGGCGAUUGCCGCUUAGAUAGGACUACGUUGCUGAGUGCCUAGUCCGACUUCGUGUGACUCGAUUUCCCGUCGCCAUCUUUUUUACACACUUAUGUAUUGUUUGAUGUUUCACUUUAUAUACUUCAAACACGGGGAGGGGAGCGGUGUAAACUGCUUGAGGGUGCUUCCUCCUCUCUCUCCCCGCGCCAUUAGACUUUGUCCGUACAGCGGAAAAUGUCAUUCACGAUCUUAAUGAUGUUGUGGCCAGGAUGCUAUUCUUAUUGUAUAAAUUGGAUAAAUAUACUACAGGUUUUGUGACUGAAAUAGCCGUUUUUAGUUAUUUUGAUACAAAAAUUGUUGUCAUGUAGUCUGUGAAAGAUCGUUAUCAUUUUGUUGUUACUUUAAUUAAACUUAAAUUACAUUG
rnacentral:misc_RNA from 1 species